rnacentral:rRNA from 1 species
AGUGAACGCUGGCGGUAGGCCUAACACAUGCAAGUCGAACGGCAGCACAGUAAGAGCUUGCUCUUACGGGUGGCGAGUGGCGGACGGGUGAGGAAUACAUCGGAAUCUACUUUUUCGUGGGGGAUAACGUAGGGAAACUUACGCUAAUACCGCAUACGACCUACGGGUGAAAGCAGGGGAUCUUCGGACCUUGCGCGAUUGAAUGAGCCGAUGUCGGAUUAGCUAGUUGGCGGGGUAAAGGCCCACCAAGGCGACGAUCCGUAGCUGGUCUGGGAGGAGGAUCAGCCACACUGGAACUGAGACACGGUCCAGAGUCCUGCGGGAGGCAGCAGUGGGGAAUAGUGGACAAUGGGCGCAAGCCUGAUCCAGCCAUACCGCGUGUGUGAAGAAGGCCUUCGGGUUGUAAAGCCCUUUUGUUGGGAAAGAAAAGCAGCAGGUUAAUACCCCGCUGUUCUGACGGUACCCAAAGAAUAAGCACCGGCUAACUUCGUG